rnacentral:rRNA from 1 species
AUUGAACGCUGGCGGCAUGCCUUACACAUGCAAGUCGAACGGUAACAGGUUAAGCUGACGAGUGGCGAACGGGUGAGUAAUGUAUCGGAACGUGCCCAGUCGUGGGGGAUAACUGCUCGAAAGAGCAGCUAAUACCGCAUACGACCUGAGGGUGAAAGCGGGGGACCGUAAGGCCUCGCGCGAUUGGAGCGGCCGAUAUCAGAUUAGCUAGUUGGUGAGGUAAAGGCUCACCAAGGCGACGAUCUGUAGCUGGUCUGAGAGGACGACCAGCCACACUGGGACUGAGACACGGCCCAGACUCCUACGGGAGGCAGCAGUGGGGAAUUUUGGACAAUGGACGCAAGUCUGAUCCAGCCAUGCCGCGUGCGGGAAGAAGGCCUUCGGGUUGUAAACCGCUUUUGUCAGGGAAGAAACGGGUUUUUCUAAUACAGAGACCUAAUGACGGUACCUGAAGAAUAAGCACCGGCUAACUACGUGCCAGCAGCCGCCGCCGUAA